rnacentral:rRNA from 1 species
CCUACGGGAGGCAGCAGUGGGGAAUAUUGCACAAUGGCGGAAACCCUGAUGCAGCGACGCCGCGUGAGUGAAGAAGUAAUUCGUCAUGUAAAGCUCUAUCAGCAGGGAAGAAAAUGACGGCUCCUGAGCCAGAAGCCGCGGGUAACUACGUGCCAGCAGCCGCGGCAAUAAGUAGGGGGCCAGCGUUAUCCGGAUUUACUGGGUGUAGAGGGAGCGUAGAGGGCAGUGAAAGUCUGGAGUGAAAGGCCGGGGCUCAACACCCGGACAGCCGUGGAAACUGGACGGCGUGAGUGCAGGAGAGGUAAGCGGAAUGCCUAGUGUAGCGGUGAAAUGCGUAGAUAUUAGGAAGAACUCCAGUGGCGAAGGCAGCAUACUGGACGGUAACUGACGUUGAGGCACGAAAGCGUGGGGAGCGAACAGGAUUAGAUACCCCAGUAGUC